rnacentral:tRNA from 1 species
GGGAAGGUGGCUCAGUGGUAGAGCGCUUGCCUUGCAUGCAUGUGGCCCUGGGUUC